rnacentral:rRNA from 1 species
AUGCUGGAGGUAUCAGAAGUGCGAAUGCUGACAUAAGUAACGAUAAAGCGGGUGAAAAGCCCGCUCGCCGGAAGACCAAGGGUUCCUGUCCAACGUUAAUCGGGGCAGGGUGAGUCGACCCCUAAGGCGAGGCCGAAAGGCGUAGUCGAUGGGAAACAGGUUAAUAUUCCUGUACUUGGUGUUACUGCGAAGGGGGGACGGAGAAGGCUAUGUUGGCCGGGCGACGGUUGUCCCGGUUUAAGCGUGUAGGCUGGUUUUCCAGGCAAAUCCGGAAAAUCAAGGCUGAGGCGUGAUGACGAGGCACUACGGUGCUGAAGCAACAAAUGCCCUGCUUCCAGGAAAAGCCUCUAAGCAUCAGGUAACAUCAAAUCGUACCCCAAACCGACACAGGUGGUCAGGUAGAGAAUACCAAGGCGCUUGAGAGAACUCGGGUGAAGGAACUAGGCAAAAUGGUGCCGUAACUUCGGGAGAAGGCACGCUGAUAUGUAGGUGAAGUCCCUUGCGGAUGGAGCUGAAAUCAGUCGAAGAUACCAGCUGGCUGCAACUGUUUAUUAAAAACACAGCACUGUGCAAACACGAAAGUGGACGUAUACGGUGUGACGCCUGCCCGGUGCCGGAAGGUUAAUUGAUGGGGUUAGCGGUAACGCGAAGCUCUUGAUCGAAGCCCCGGUAAACGGCGGCCGUAACUAUAACGGUCCUAAGGUAGCGAAAUUCCUUGUCGGGUAAGUUCCGACCUGCACGAAUGGCGUAAUGAUGGCCAGGCUGUCUCCACCCGAGACUCAGUGAAAUUGAACUCGCUGUGAAGAUGCAGUGUACCCGCGGCAAGACGGAAAGACCCCGUGAACCUUUACUAUAGCUUGACACUGAACAUUGAGCCUUGAUGUGUAGGAUAGGUGGGAGGCUUUGAAGUGUGGACGCCAGUCUGCAUGGAGCCGACCUUGAAAUACCACCCUUUAAUGUUUGAUGUUCUAACGUUGGCCCCUGAUCGGGGUUGCGGACAGUGUCUGGUGGGUAGUUUGACUGGGGCGGUCUCCUCCUAAAGAGUAACGGAGGAGCACGAAGGUUGGCUAAUCCUGGUCGGACAUCAGGAGGUUAGUGCAAUGGCAUAAGCCAGCUUGACUGCGAGCGUGACGGCGCGAGCAGGUGCGAAAGCAGGUCAUAGUGAUCCGGUGGUUCUGAAUGGAAGGGCCAUCGCUCAACGGAUAAAAGGUACUCCGGGGAUAACAGGCUGAUACCGCCCAAGAGUUCAUAUCGACGGCGGUGUUUGGCACCUCGAUGUCGGCUCAUCACAUCCUGGGGCUGAAGUAGGUCCCAAGGGUAUGGCUGUUCGCCAUUUAAAGUGGUACGCGAGCUGGGUUUAGAACGUCGUGAGACAGUUCGGUCCCUAUCUGCCGUGGGCGCUGGAGAACUGAGGGGGGCUGCUCCUAGUACGAGAGGACCGGAGUGGACGCAUCACUGGUGUUCGGGUUGUCAUGCCAAUGGCACUGCCCGGUAGCUAAAUGCGGAAGAGAUAAGUGCUGAAAGCAUCUAAGCACGAAACUUGCCCCGAGAUGAGUUCUCCCUGACUCCUUGAGAGUCCUGAAGGAACGUUGAAGACGACGACGUUGAUAGGCCGGGUGUGUAAGCGCAGCGAUGCGUUGAGCUAACCGGUACUAAUGAACCGUGAGGCUUAACCUUACAACGCCGAAG